AGCGGAGGAAAAGAAACCAACAGGGAUUGCCUCAGUAACGGCGAGUGAAGCGGCAAGAGCUCAAAUUUGAAAGCUGGCCCCUUCGGGGUCCGCGUUGUAAUUUGCAGAGGAUGCUUCGGGUGCAGCCCCCGUCUAAGUGCCCUGGAACGGGCCGUCAUAGAGGGUGAGAAUCCCGUCUGGGACGGGGUGUCUGCGUCCGUGUGAAGCUCCUUCGACGAGUCGAGUUGUUUGGGAAUGCAGCUCUAAAUGGGUGGUAAAUUUCAUCUAAAGCUAAAUACUGGCCGGAGACCGAUAGCGCACAAGUAGAGUGAUCGAAAGAUGAAAAGCACUUUGAAAAGAGAGUUAAACAGCACGUGAAAUUGUUGAAAGGGAAGCGUUUGCGACCAGACUCGCCCGCGGGGUUCAGCCGGCAUUCGUGCCGGUGUACUUCCCCGUGGGCGGGCCAGCGUCGGUUUGGGCGGCCGGUCAAAGGCCCUCGGAAUGUAUCACCUCUCGGGGUGUCUUAUAGCCGAGGGUGCAAUGCGGCCUGCCUGGACCGAGGAACGCGCUUCGGCU
rnacentral:rRNA from 1 species